rnacentral:rRNA from 1 species
CCUACGGGAGGCUGCAGUGGGGAAUAUUGGACAAUGGGGGGAACCCUGAUCCAGCCAUGCCGCGUGUGUGAAGAAGGCCCUCGGGUUUUAAAGCACUUUCAGUGAGGAAGAACGCCUGGUGGUUAAUACCCAUCAGGAAAGACAUCACUCACAGAAGAAGCACCGGCUAACUCCGUGCCAGCAGCCGCGGUAAUACGGAGGGUGCGAGCGUUAAUCGGAAUUACUGGGCGUAAAGCGCGCGUAGGUGGCUUGAUAAGCCGGUUGUGAAAGCCCCGGGCUCAACCUGGGAACGGCAUCCGGAACUGUCAAGCUAGAGUGCAGGAGAGGAAGGUAGAAUUUCCGGUGUAGCGGUGAAAUGCGUAGAGAUCGGGAGGAAUACCAGUGGCGAAGGCGGCCUUCUAGACUGACACUGACACUGAGGUGCGAAAGCGUGGGUAGCAAACAGGAUUAGAUACCCUGGUAGUC